UGGGGAAUAUUGCACAAUGGGCGCAAGCCUGAUGCAGCCAUGCCGCGUGUGUGAAGAAGGCCUUCGGGUUGUAAAGCACUUUCAGCGAGGAGGAAGGCGUUAAGGUUAAUAACCUUAGCGAUUGACGUUACUCGCAGAAGAAGCACCGGCUAACUCCGUGCCAGCAGCCGCGGUAAUACGGAGGGUGCAAGCGUUAAUCGGAAUUACUGGGCGUAAAAGCGCACGCAGGCGGUUUGUUAAGUCAGAUGUGAAAUCCCCGAGCUUAACUUGGGAACUGCAUUUGAAACUGGCAAGCUAGAGUCUUGUAGAGGGGGGUAGAAUUCCAGGUGUAGCGGUGAAAUGCGUAGAGAUCUGGAGGAAUACCGGUGGCGAAGGCGGCCCCCCUG
rnacentral:rRNA from 1 species